UACGUAGGGUGCGAGCGUUAAUCGGAAUUACUGGGCGUAAAGCGUGCGCAGGCGGUUUUGUAAGACAGGUGUGAAAUCCCCGGGCUUAACCUGGGAACUGCGCUUGUGACUGCAAGACUCGAGUACGGCAGAGGGGGGUAGAAUUCCACGUGUAGCAGUGAAAUGCGUAGAGAUGUGGAGGAAUACCGAUGGCGAAGGCAGCCCCCUGGGAUAACACUGACGCUCAUGCACGAAAGCGUGGGGAGCAAACAGG
rnacentral:rRNA from 1 species